AGUGAGUUUGUGUGUGAGUGUGUGUGUGUGUGUGUGUGUGUGUGUGUGUGUGUGUGUGUGUGUGUGUGUGUGUGUGUGUGUGUGUGUGUGUGUGUGUGUGUGUGUGUGUGUGUGUGUGUGUGUGUGUGUAGCAGAAACCAUUUAGAGAAGAGGCUCAUAAAUUAUUGAAAGGUCUGCUGACUCCCUCUCUCUCUACAUGACGAUACACUUUAAGGUUAAUCUUGCUUGCCCACUCCCCAAUCCUCUCUUUCACUCUCUCUCUCUAUCUCUCUCUAACACACAGUCCUAUCUGCCGUCU